CACGUAGGGUGCGAGCGUUGUCCGGAAUUAUUGGGCGUAAAGAGCUCGUAGGCGGCCUGUUGCGUCCGCUGUGAAAGCCCGGGGCUUAACCCCGGGUCGCAGUGGAUACGGGCAGGCUAGAGGUAGGUAGGGGAGAAUGGAAUUCCCGGUGUAGCGGUGAAAUGCGCAGAUAUCGGGAGGAACACCGGUGGCGAAGGCGGUUCUCUGGGCCUUACCUGACGCUGAGGAGCGAAAGCGUGGGGAGCGAACAGG
rnacentral:rRNA from 1 species